rnacentral:rRNA from 1 species
GGGGCAACCUGGCCUGUAAGACUGGGGAUAACUUCGGGAAACCGAAGCUAAUACCGGAUAGGAUCUUCUCCUUCAUGGGAGAUGAUUGAAAGAUGGUUUCGGCUAUCACUUACAGAUGGGCCCGCGGUGCAUUAGCUAGUUGGUGAGGUAACGGCUCACCAAGGCAACGAUGCAUAGCCGACCUGAGAGGGUGAUCGGCCACACUGGGACUGAGACACGGCCCAGACUCCUACGGGAGGCAGCAGUAGGGAAUCUUCCGCAAUGGACGAAAGUCUGACGGAGCAACGCCGCGUGAGUGAUGAAGGCUUUCGGGUCGUAAAACUCUGUUGUUAGGGAAGAACAAGUACGAGAGUAACUGCUCGUACCUUGACGGUACCUAACCAGAAAGCCACGGCUAACUACGUGCCAGCAGCCGCGGUAAUACGUAGGUGGCAAGCGUUAUCCGGAAUUAUUGGGCGUAAAGCGCGCGCAGGCGGUUUCUUAAGUCUGAUGUGAAAGCCCACGGCUCAACCGUGGAGGGUCAUUGGAAACUGGGGAACUUGAGUGCAGAAGAGAAAAGCGGAAUUCCACGUGUAGCGGUGAAAUGCGUAGAGAUGUGGAGGAACACCAGUGGCGAAGGCGGCUUUUUGGUCUGUAACUGACGCUGAGGCGCGAAAGCGUGGGGAGCAAACAGGAUUAUAUACCCUGGUAGUCCACGCCGUAGACAAUGAGUGCUAACUGUUA